GCUACAAAGCGACGCUAAACCGCGAGGUCACGCAAAACGCAAAAAAGCUACCGUAGUUCGGAUUGAAGUCUGAAACCCGACUUCAUGAAGUUGGAAUCGCUAGUAAUCGCGCAUCAGCACGGCCGCGGUCGAAUACGUUCCGGGCCUU
rnacentral:rRNA from 1 species